rnacentral:rRNA from 1 species
CCUACGGGCGGCAGCAGUGGGGGAUAUUGGACAAUGGGGGGAACCCUGAUCCAGCGACGCCGCGUGAGUGAAGAAGUAUUUCGGUAUGUAAAGCUCUGUCAGCAGGGAAGAAAGCAAUGACGGUACCUGACCAAGAAGCCCCGGCUAACUACGUGCCAGCAGCCGCGGGAAUACGUAGGGGGCAAGCGUUAUCCGGAAUUACUGGGGGUAAAGGGAGCGUAGACGGCUGUGCAAGUCUGGAGUGAAAGGCGGGGGCGCAACCCCCGGACUGCUCUGGAAACUGUAUGGCUAGAGUGCAGGAGAGGUAAGCGGAAUUCCUAGUGUAGCGGUGAAAUGCGUAGAUAUUAGGAGGAACACCAGUGGCGAAGGCGGCUUACUGGACUGUAACUGACGUUGAGGCUCGAAAGCGUGGGGAGCAAACAGGAUUAGAUACCCCUGUAGUC